rnacentral:rRNA from 1 species
GACGAACGCUGGCGGCGUGCUUAACACAUGCAAGUCGAACGGAAAGGCCCUGCUUUUGUGGGGUGCUCGAGUGGCGAACGGGUGAGUAACACGUGAGUAACCUGCCCUUGACUUUGGGAUAACUUCAGGAAACUGGGGCUAAUACCGGAUAGGAGCUCCUGCUGCAUGGUGGGGGUUGGAAAGUUUCGGCGGUUGGGGAUGGACUCGCGGCUUAUCAGCUUGUUGGUGGGGUAGUGGCUUACCAAGGCUUUGACGGGUAGCCGGCCUGAGAGGGUGACCGGCCACAUUGGGACUGAGAUACGGCCCAGACUCCUACGGGAGGCAGCAGUGGGGAAUAUUGCACAAGGGGCGGAAGCCUGAUGCAGCAACGCCGCGGGCGGGAUGACGGCCUUCGGGUGGUAAACCGCUUUCGCCUGUGACGAAGCGUGAGUGACGGUAAUGGGUAAAGAAGCACCGGCUAACUACGU